AGUGAACGCUGGCGGCAGGCCUAACACAUGCAAGUCGAACGGCAGCACAAGAGAGCUUGCUCUCUGGGUGGCGAGUGGCGGACGGGUGAGGAAUGCAUCGGAAUCUGCCCAUUUGUGGGGGAUAACCUCGGGAAACCGCGACUACUACCGCAUACGACCUACGGGUGAAAGCAGGGGAUCUUCGGACCUUGCGCAGAUGGAUGAGCCGAUGCCGGAUUAGCUAGUUGGAGGGGUAAAGGCCCACCAAGGCGACGAUCCGUAGCUGGUCUGAGAGGAUGAUCAGCCACACUGGGACUGAGACACGGCCCAGACUCCUACGGGAGGCAGCAGUGGGGAAUAUUGGACAAUGGGCGCAAGCCUGAUACAGCCAUGCCGCGUGUGUGAAGAAGGCCUUCGGGUUGUAAAGCACUUUUGUUGGGAAAGAAAAGCAGCCGGUUAAGACCCGGUUGUCAUGACGGUACCCAAAGAAUAAGCACCGGCUAACUUCGUG
rnacentral:rRNA from 1 species